rnacentral:lncRNA from 1 species
GGACAACAAGUCUACAAGGGAGUUUUAUUCUCUUUGGACAUGCUCUAGCUUGAACGUGGAGAAAAUCGCCUUUAGAAGCAUAACACACCUGAGGUACGAGACUAACUGCGGAUCACUCUUCACUAGCAAACUUCGACACCCAACUCCUUGGCGAGCAACAUCCCAACUAUCAAGGCUUCGUAUUCAGCUUGGUUGUUGUUGGCUUUGAAGGCGAAUCUCAGGGCUUGCUCGAUUAACAACCCGUUCGGCCCUUCUAGAAUGACCCCAACUCCAAUCCUUUGUUGGUUAGAGGAUUCGUCCACUAAAAAGGACUCACUGAAAGUCAUUAGAAUCUGGUUGGGGACCCUCGGAUGACAACUCUACCAUAAAAUCAGCAUACACCUAGCUCUUGAUAGGCCCCCGGGGUUCAUACUGCACAUUGAACUCAGAAAAAUCAAUUGCCCAACAAACCAUAUGACCUGCUAUGUGGGGCUUCU